CAACUUACCGUUUAACGUUAAAAGAGGACGACAAAGAGCUAAUUAGAGAGUCAGUAUAGGACCAUUCUUUGGAAAGCUAACCAAAAUAUCACACACGUGACCAGUCAUAGUUGACCUCUGACCCGAAACAAACAUUGUCAGCAUAACAAAAAAUUCACUUGAUAAACUUUGAAAAAAUA